rnacentral:lncRNA from 1 species
UGUACUGGAGCACAACAGAGGCAGUGUCUCAGGAAAAACUUAAGCAUAGAGACUUCUCAUUUUAGGAGACCUUACAGAGCACAGUGCACUGCAAUGAUUGCCUGUCCAGCAGCUGGCGGAGAAGGGGUGCCAGGAGUGCUGGCCUCUUGCUGGGUGCACCCACCUAAACAAGCAAAGGAGCCCU